UUAAAGUCAUUAUCAGCCCAUAUUUUCCCUGCAAGAGCCCGUUAGAGUACUUUCUGCCCCGAUACUUCAUCAUCUUGACCUGUAACUCUAUCCUCCUCCUCUUUAAAAAGAGGAAUAUUUUUCCACUUCUCCAUGAACCCUCCUUGAAGAGAAAGAUUCCUCAUAAAGAAAGAAGAAAUAAAUAAAAAAAAAUCUUUUAUUAAAACAUCUGAAAAAAUCCCCGGUAACAAUAUUAGGGAAGAAAAUAAAAAAAAGAUAUGAAAUUAAACUCCUCUACAAAC
rnacentral:lncRNA from 1 species